rnacentral:lncRNA from 1 species
CCGCCGGCGCCCCGUGACGGGAUUUUUCGCGGCAGUUCCGGUGCCGUGCACACGGACUGCGGGGUCAGCAGCACCGCGAGCGUGUGGGUUUUUGGCGGGAGCCGACAGGCAUCGGCAAAAACGCCUGUCACUAUCAAGGUCCCCACGGGCCGCCAUCUUGUCGCGGACUCGCUUGACAAGUGCUGCCGCCUUGUGGACAGAGGGUGGUACUGCAGCCCCCCAGCCAGCGCCCGGCCAAACCACCGAGACGGGGCGGGAGGGGCGAGCGGCGGGAGCGAGCGGCGAGCGGGGCGGUGUCUGUGAGUGAGGGGAGGGCUGAAGGCGGCGAGGAGGGCGGUGGCGAGGGCGGCCCAGCGGGGCCGGUGCCGGCGGGCGGCGGAGGCGCGGUCGCAGCGCUCCCGGGCCGCGGCCGAGCGGCAUCGGAGCAGGGCUGCGCCCCCUUCCCGGCCCCGCGCCCCUCUCCAGACGCCGGGAGCGGCCGCGUGCCGGAAAAUGCCGCCGGGGCGGCGGAGCGGGGCCCUGGCUCUGCCCGCCCCUCCUGCCGCCCUCCUUGAAAUGGUUCGAGGCAUUAUGGAUUUAUUGAGGUCCUGCUGAAGCUGAGGACAAAGCCCUACCCCUACCCCUACACGGACAAGGCAGCAGACCUGAUUCAGGAAGGCAGCGUGCUCCCGGUUGCUACUGGACUCUGAUAACAUCAGCAUCCCCGUCUCUCACAUUGAUGCAGCAUUUUCGAACGACAAUGGACAUUCAGUCCUUCUGCCCGGAGCUGUUCACAGAAUCAAGGAAUCCCAGAAGGGCUUGGAUGGGAAGGCACCUUUUUUUAAAGCUCGUCCCGUUCCACACCCUGCCAUGGGCAGGGACACCUUCCACCAUCCCAGGGUGCUCUAAGCCCUGUCCAGCCUGGCCUUGGACACUUCCAGGGAUCCGGGGGCAGGCACAGCUUCUGUGGGCAACCUGUGCUGGACAGCAGCUUUGAAAGGCAGAGUGAAGAACAGCUGUGAUUUUUGUGCUGCCCCUAACAUUGUAUUG